UGCAUAGGAAUCUACCUAGUAGUAUAGGAUAGCCACUAGAAGUGGUGGGUAAUACUGUAUAAUCCCUGCGGGGGAAAGAUUUAUCGCUACAUGACGAGCCUAUGUUAGAUUAGCUAGUUGGUGGGGUAAUGGCCUACCAAGGCAGUGAUCUAUAGCUGGUCUGAGGGGAUGAUCAGCCACACUGGGACUGAGACACGGUCCAGACUCCUACGGGAGGCAGCAGUGGGGAAUAUUGGACAAUGGGCGCAAGCCUGAUCCAGCCAUGCCGCGUGAGUGAGGAAGGCCUUAGGGUUGUAAAACUCUUUCAGUGGGGAAGAUAAUGACGGUACCCGCAGAAGAAGUCCCGGCAAACUCCGUGCCAGCAGCCGCGGUAAUACGGAGGGGGCAAGCGUUGUUCGGAAUUAUUGGGCGUAAAGGGCAUGUAGGUGGUUUGGUUAGUUAAAGGUGAAAUGCCAGGGCUUAACCCUGGAGCUGCUUUUAAUACUGCCAGACUGGAGUCCGGGAGAGGAUAGCGGAAUUCCUAG
rnacentral:rRNA from 1 species